AAGCACUCUAUUUGAUUUUCUUCGGAGAUGAAGAUUUUGUGACUGAUUGGCGAACGGGUGAGUAACGCGUGGGUAACCUGCCUCAUACAGGGGGAUAACAGUUGGAAACGACUGCUAAUACCGCAUAAGCGCACAGGAUUGCAUGAUCCGGUGUGAAAAACUCCGGUGGUAUGAGAUGGACCCGCGUCUGAUUAGCCAGUUGGCAGGGUAACGGCCUACCAAAGCGACGAUCAGUAGCCGACCUGAGAGGGUGACCGGCCACAUUGGGACUGAGACACGGCCCAAACUCCUACGGGAGGCAGCAGUGGGGAAUAUUGCACAAUGGGGGAGACCCUGAUGCAGCGACGCCGCGUGAGCGAAGAAGUAUUUCGGUAUGUAAAGCUCUAUCAGCAGGGAAGAAGAAUGACGGUACCUGACUAAGAAGCACCGGCUAAAUACGUGCCAGCAGCCGCGGUAAUACGUAUGGUGCAAGCGUUAUCCGGAUUUACUGGGUGUAAAGGGAGCGCAGGCGGUGCGGCAAGUCUGAUGUGAAAGCCCGGGGCUCAACCCCGGUACUGCAUUGGAAACUGGUCAUCUAGAGUGUCGGAGGGGUAAGUGGAAUUCCUAGUGUAGCGGUGAAAUGCGUAGAUAUUAGGAGGAACACCAGUGGCGAAGGCGGCUUACUGGACGAUAACUGACGCUGAGGCUCGAAAGCGUGGGGAGCAAACAGGAUUAGAUACCCUGGUAGUCCACGCCGUAAACGAUG
rnacentral:rRNA from 1 species